rnacentral:rRNA from 1 species
AUUGAACGCUGGCGGCAGGCCUAACACAUGCAAGUCGAACGGUAACAGGAAGAAGCUUGCUUCUUUGCUGACGAGUGGCGGACGGGUGAGUAAUGUCUGGGAAACUGCCUGAUGGAGGGGGAUAACUACUGGAAACGGUAGCUAAUACCGCAUAACGUCGCAAGACCAAAGAGGGGGACCUUCGGGCCUCUUGCCAUCGGAUGUGCCCGGAUGGGAUUAGCUAGUAGGUGGGGUAACGGCUCACCUAGGCGACGAUCCCUAGCUGGUCUGAGAGGAUGACCAGCCACACUGGAACUGAGACACGGUCCAGACUCCUACGGGAGGCAGCAGUGGGGAAUAUUGCACAAAGGGCGCAAGCCUGAUGCAGCCAUGCCGCGUGUAUGAAGAAGGCCUUCGGGUUGUAAAGUACUUUCAGCGGGGAGGAAGGGAGUAAAGUUAAUACCUUUGCUCAUUGACGUUACCCGCAGAAGAAGCACCGGCUAACUCCGUG